rnacentral:rRNA from 1 species
GGUCGACGAUUCCUACGGGAGGCAGCAGUGGGGAAUAUUGGACAAUGGGCGAAAGCCUGAUCCAGCCAUGCCGCGUGUGUGAAGAAGGUCUUCGGAUUGUAAAGCACUUUAAGUUGGGAGGAAGGGUUGUAGAUUAAUACUCUGCAAUUUUGACGUUACCGACAGAAUAAGCACCGGCUAACUCUGUGCCAGCAGCCGCGGUAAUA